rnacentral:lncRNA from 1 species
ACAAGGGCUCCUAGUCGUUUUAUUUUUAGCGUAAGGUUUUCCUCUUUAACAAGGAAGUAAAAAAAAAAGUUGUGCAAUAAAUAUUAAUCGUCCUUAUAUGUACUCGGGAACGUUCGUCCUUUAGGUUUUCUCCUGGCGCAUGGGCGCCGCCAAUCAUUUCGGGGCUUAUUUUGGUUCUAAAGCCCGGGGCAGCCAGGCCUCCCUGCCUGGCCUCGGCGGGGACGCGGGACCUGGGGCCCCGGACCGGGCCUAACCGCCCUGGCCGGUCCCCACUGAUGGUGGCGGUCGGUCCUGAUCGUCCUGAUGGCAGCGACCAGGCUGGACUCGGGCUGUGCAGGGGCGAGGGGAGCAGGGCGGGGUGACGCCCGGAGAGCGGCCUGGAGAGCGCGUGCUUCAGAAGGCGUGGGCACCCUGUCCCCUUUGCAGAUGGGGAUGCAGGCCCUGGUGGCGGUGGAGGGGAGAUGGGGGCAGGGACGUUGCCGGGCAGAGGAAGCUGGCCAUUCCUGGGGGAUUCCUGGGAGCCAUGUGGGAGAGGCGUGAGGAAGUGAGACCUUCACCCCGAGACAGGUCCUGACACACCCUCUGGUGCCUCUACUCAAGUGAGAGCUUUGGAAUAAACAGAUUUCCAUAAAGAAAAGCUGCUUUAGAGUGCUACACUGUAAGAGGGGCCGGGCAAACAAGAAGGGACGGAGGAAAGACCACCAAGUGAGAGGCACAGGUGUCAGGACACACAGAGAGCCCGAAAACGAGGCAGAGAAGUUUGGCUGCUGUAACUGACUGGGAAGCUUAAAAUAACAGACAAUCAUCUCUCACAUUUAUGGGGACUGGGAAGUCCAAGACCAAGUUGCCAUCUGGGGAGGGCCUGUUCCUCACAGCGCCUUCCAGCUCAGGCCUCGUUUAUAAGGGCACUCAAGCCUUCCACGACAACGGGUCCUCAUGACUUACUCACCUCGGAAAGCCCCACCCCCAAGACCAUCACAUUGUGGGUGAUGGCAGAGCAUAAGGUGCCUUCCCCACAUGCUCGGGUUGGCCCAGCGUCUCACGCUAGCAGCUACGUGGAAUAGUUAUUUUUUCUGGAGAACUCUGGGACCCCUCUGAUGUCUUGGAGCACCCACACAGGCCGUUCACUGUGCACGCUGUGAGGCUGUCGUCUUGGAGCACCCACACAGGCCGUUCACUGUGCACGUGGUGAGGCUGUCCUCUGGGGAGUUCUGCUGUUGUAUGGGUUCUGUCUGUGUCAAUGUCCCAGCGGGAACGCAGGGCACACUAGCGUCAUCCCCAGAGGGCUUGGUAAGGGGACUGUUUGCAGAGACAUAGGCAGAGGGCUGGAAAACUACCAAAAAAGUGCAGUGUUCUGGACCUAAUAAUAGCAGAGCUAUUCUCACCCUGGUCUGAAGGCAGGAGGGGAGGAGCAGUUAAUGGAUUCUGGAAGUCAGGUUGCACAGAGUCACCUUGAAAGAUGCCAUGACCUUCACCGAGGGCCAGACAGAGACUAAGAUGACCCCAUAGGAGAAUAAGACCUAGACCUCAUCCUCCUGCCUCCUGCCAGUCCCUGCCAGGGGUCGCCAAUGGCAAAACAGGACUGGAAGCCAGAGGCCAUGGAAGCCCAUGGAUGAAGUCCACAGGCCAGCCUCCCCGAGAGCAGCCUGGACGGUCCGCAGGAGACGUCUCCUGUCUUAGGCGUCCCACGCCGCGUGCUCCUGUUCAGCCCUGCCGAGGUGGAAGCUUGGAGUGGCUCACGGUGGAUGCAUUGACGCUGCAGACGCCAGCAAGUGCUACAAACCAGAGCUGGCCUUUAACUCAGACUGAUGGAGAAGGUGUUAAUAAUGCAGAUUAGACUUAAAAGUGUUGAAGCCAUUGCACUGUGAACAGCAAAAAAAUUGAAGAACUCUUCUGGCAUUUAAAAACAAUUACUCAGUUCAGCAGAGAAGUCACUGACAAACGAGAUCACACUGACUGCUUUGUCGUUUUGGUUUUGUCUUACUCAUUAAUGCAAAUAAGAACAUUCACUAGCAUCUGUGUCGGGCCUACCCUCCCUGGUCAAAUACAGCUACAGUCUCCCUGCAGAAACGAGUUUUCCAGAAAUGAGCCGAUGUUUUCUGCGAGAAUCAAUUGGUCAUAUACAAUUUACAAAAAUGAGUACUGUAUACUAUAUUUGUAAACUGUACACUGCAGAUGCUUUAUUUCACUGAAAUUUAUAAUACACUUAUCCAUGUAUAUGCAUGCAUGCAUUUUUGUUCCUGAGAUCCAGCUGUGAAAUGUUUACCAGCACAUAAAUUACCAGCACAUGCUCUUUUUUGUUAACCUACUAGGUAAAAUCUUCAUUUAUUACAUCAAAUUCUUGUAGUUUUUGUAUUGCAAUUAUGCAGAUAUUGAUUAUCGCAGUAUUACUGCAAUUAUACAGAUACCACAAUUUCAGAUAUUGAUCAGCGUGUUCAGUUGGUUUCUAAGGAGGUUUACUUACCUCAUGGUACACCUAGUUUGCAUAGUUUGAUUAUAUUUAACUCUUAUGCUAAUUGGGGGAAGUCAUUGAUUUAUUGGACAGAUGCACCUGUGGUCUUCCCUGAGCACAUCCUGGCCAAGGAUGCUGCCCCCAGGAGAUUUGAGAAGUCCUGUAAGGAUCAUAUCAGUAUUUUCAAAUACUUAUAGAAAAGCCAGAGGGAUUGACCCAGAAUUACCAAUAUAAGCUUGACCCUGAGAUAACAAUGCCAUUUUAUGUUUGCAUGCAUAAAACCAAUGCAAGAGGCUGAUGACUCCAGAUCCCUUAUAUAAGCCAAUAAAAAGUAGUUUCAUUUUUUAUUUCAUUUAAAAAAGUGUACCAUUAACCUAAA